ACGGGAGGCAGCAGUGGGGAAUAUUAGGCAAUGGGGGCAACCCUGACCUAGCAACGCCGCGUGAAGGAAGAAGGCCUUCGGGUUGUAAACUUCUUUUAUAGGGGACGAAACGAAUGACGGUACCCUAUGAAUAAGCCACGGCUAACUACGUGCCAGCAGCCGCGGUAAUACGUAGGUGGCAAGCGUUGUCCGGAUUUACUGGGUGUAAAGGGCGCGUAGGCGGGAUGGCAAGUCAGAUGUGAAAUCCAUGGGCUCAACCCAUGAACUGCAUUUGAAACUGUUAUUCUUGAGUAUCGGAGAGGCAAGCGGAAUUCCUAGUGUAGCGGUGAAAUGCGUAGAUAUUAGGAGGAACACCAGUGGCGAAGGCGGCUUGCUGGACGAAAACUGACGCUGAGGCGCGAAAGCGUGG
rnacentral:rRNA from 1 species